UGAAGAGGGAGAAGGGGAUGA
rnacentral:misc_RNA from 1 species